UUAAGAAUCUUGGACAAUGGACGCAAGUCUGAUCCAGCGACGCCGCGUGAACGGUGAAGGUCUUCGGAUUGUAAAGUUCAGUAAGAUGGGAAGAAGAAGCGCAGGGUAAUAUUCUGCGUGGUGACGGUACCAUCCUAAAGCCUCGGCUAAAUACGUGCCAGCAGCCGCGGUAAUACGUAUGAGGCAAGCGUUGUUCGGAAUUAUUGGGCGUAAAGGGCAUCUAGGCGGGAUGUUAAGUCAGGUGUGAAAUUUCACGGCUCAACCGUGGACCUGCACUUGAUACUGACAUGCUUGAGUUCAGAAGAGGAAGGCGGAAUACCCGGUGUAGCGGUGAAAUGAGUAGAUAUCGGGUAGAACACCGGUGGCGAAGGCGACCUUCUGGUCUUGAACUGACGCUAACAUGCGAAAGUGUGGGGAGCAAACG
rnacentral:rRNA from 1 species